rnacentral:lncRNA from 1 species
CAUGCUGGCGGUGUAUCACCGGCAGUGGAAUGCCAGGAGCCAGUAAUCCAGCUGGAGUUGGUCCACCCCCUCGCCUUGACCAUGUCGCUGUGAGCCUUCCUGGAGGGAGAAUUUUGAUAUUUGGUGGAUCAGUGGCAGGUCUUCACUCCGCUUCAAAGCUUUACCUGCUGGAUCCGACUGAAGAGAAGCCUACCUGGAGGAUACUGAAUGUUCCUGGCCGCCCUCCGCGAUUUGCCUGGGGCCACAGUACCUGUGUUGUGGGAGGUACAAAGGCGAUAGUUCUUGGAGGACAA